GGGGGCGAAAUGGCUUCGACGGGGAUAAAGAAGCUUAGGCUGCAUACCGAGCUCCUAUCGGCUCGUAAAAAUGGUGGGAACAUAAAUAUAAUCGCAGAUGAUUAUGAAUUAGCCCUGGCC
rnacentral:tmRNA from 2 species